AAAGAAACAAAAGAAGAACAGAAAAGAAACAGAGAAAGAGACUAAAACAGAGGAAGAAAAAGGGUAAGAAAAGAAAGGGGGAAAAUUUAGAUUUUGGAGCUUGAAGUUUAAUAGCUAACAAGGAACUCGAGGCAUCGGCAUACAAAGGAAAGGAGAAGGUUAUUGAGGAAUAAUCGAGUAAAAUUCGGGUUGAAAAGGGAUCAGAGUCUCGGUUCAGCAUUUAGGACAAUCCCGACUCCGACAUAAAGAUUUUGGUGAUGUUUUCUUCCUUUAAGAGAAAGUGGCAUGUAUAUAAGAAUUAUAAUAGUUAUUUUGGUAUGUUAUAUAGUUUUGUUGUGAAAUAAGAUCUUAUGUAUUAUGAUCUCCAAUCUUAGACCCUAAACCGAACAAAUUCCAAUGCUGCACCUAUCAACAACUUCCAUCAAAUUCCAAUGCUGCACCUACAAAUACUAACCUAGUAUGG